rnacentral:rRNA from 1 species
AGCAGCCGCGGUAAUUCCAGCUCCAAUAGCGUAUAUUAAAGUUGUUGCAGUUAAAAAGCUCGUAGUUGAAUUUCGGGAUCAUCAGGUUGGUCGUGCCUCUGGUAUGUACUUUCCUCGAUGGUUCCUCCUUCUUGAAGAACCAUAAUGCCAUUAAUUUGGUGUUGCGGGGAAACAGGACUGUUACUUUGAAAAAAUUAGAGUGUUUAAAGCAGGCAAUCGCUUGAAUACAUUAGCAUGGAAUAAUGAAAUAGGACGUUCGAUCCUAUUUUGUUGGUUUCUAGGAUUGACGUAAUGAUUAAUAGGGAUAGUUGGGGGCAUUAGUAUUCAAUUGUCAGAGGUGAAAUUCUUGGAUGUAU